UACGUAGGGUCCGAGCGUUGUCCGGAAUUAUUGGGCGUAAAGGGCUCGUAGGCGGUCCGUCGCGUCGGGAGUGAAAACCUUGGGCUUAACUCAGGGCUUGCUUUCGAUACGGGCAGACUAGAGGUAUGCAGGGGAGAACGGAAUUCCUGGUGUAGCGGUGAAAAUGCGCAGAUAUCAGGAGGAACACCGGUGGCGAAGGCGGUUCUCUGGGCAUGAUCUGACGCUGAGGAGCGAAAGCGUGGGGAGCGAACAGGG
rnacentral:rRNA from 1 species